UUUUAUAAGAAUAUGAUGUUGGUUCAGAUUAAGCGCUAAAUAAGGACAUGACACAUGCGAAUCAUACGUUUAUUAUUGAUAAGAUAAUAAAUAUGUGGUGUAAACGUGAGUAAUUUUAUUAGGAAUUAAUGAACUAUAGAAUAAGCUAAAUACUUAAUAUAUUAUUAUAUAAAAAUAAUUUAUAUAAUAAAAAGGAUAUAUAUAUAAUAUAUAUUUAUCUAUAGUCAAGCCAAUAAUGGUUUAGGUAGUAGGUUUAUUAAGAGUUAAACCUAGCCAACGAUCCAUAAUCGAUAAUGAAAGUUAGAACGAUCACGUUGACUCUGAAAUAUAGUCAAUAUCUAUAAGAUACAGCAGUGAGGAAUAUUGGACAAUGAUCGAAAGAUUGAUCCAGUUACUUAUUAGGAUGAUAUAUAAAAAUAUUUUAUUUUAUUUAUAAAUAUUUAAUAUUUAUAAUAAUAAUAAUAAUAAUAUAUAUAUAUAAAUUGAUUAAAAAUAAAAUCCAUAAAUAAUUAAAAUAAUGAUAUUAAUUACCAUAUAUAUUUUUAUAUGGAUAUAUAUAUUAAUAAUAAUAUUAAUUUUAUUAUUAUUAAUAAUAUAUUUUAAUAGUCCUGACUAAUAUUUGUGCCAGCAGUCGCGGUAACACAAAGAGGGCGAGCGUUAAUCAUAAUGGUUUAAAGGAUCCGUAGAAUGAAUUAUAUAUUAUAAUUUAGAGUUAAUAAAAUUAAUUAAAGAAUUAUAAUAGUAAAGAUGAAAUAAUAAUAAUAAUUAUAAGACUAAUAUAUGUGAAAAUAUUAAUUAAAUAUUAACUGACAUUGAGGGAUUAAAACUAGAGUAGCGAAACGGAUUCGAUACCCGUGUAGUUCUAGUAGUAAACUAUGAAUACAAUUAUUUAUAAUAUAUAUUAUAUAUAAAUAAUAAAUGAAAAUGAAAGUAUUCCACCUGAAGAGUACGUUAGCAAUAAUGAAACUCAAAACAAUAGACGGUUACAGACUUAAGCAGUGGAGCAUGUUAUUUAAUUCGAUAAUCCACGACUAACCUUACCAUAUUUUGAAUAUUAUAAUAAUUAUUAUAAUUAUUAUAUUACAGGCGUUACAUUGUUGUCUUUAGUUCGUGCUGCAAAGUUUUAGAUUAAGUUCAUAAACGAACAAAACUCCAUAUAUAUAAUUUUAAUUAUAUAUAAUUUUAUAUUAUUUAUUAAUAUAAAGAAAGGAAUUAAGACAAAUCAUAAUGAUCCUUAUAAUAUGGGUAAUAGACGUGCUAUAAUAAAAUGAUAAUAAAAUUAUAUAAAAUAUAUUUAAUUAUAUUUAAUUAAUAAUAUAAAACAUUUUAAUUUUUAAUAUAUUUUUUUAUUAUAUAUUAAUAUGAAUUAUAAUCUGAAAUUCGAUUAUAUGAAAAAAGAAUUGCUAGUAAUACGUAAAUUAGUAUGUUACGGUGAAUAUUCUAACUGUUUCGCACUAAUCACUCAUCACGCGUUGAAACAUAUUAUUAUCUUAUUAUUUAUAUAAUAUUUUUUAAUAAAUAUUAAUAAUUAUUAAUUUAUAUUUAUUUAUAUCAGAAAUAAUAUGAAUUAAUGCGAAGUUGAAAUACAGUUACCGUAGGGGAACCUGCGGUGGGCUUAUAAAUAUC
rnacentral:ncRNA from 1 species